CCAGACUCCUACGGGAGGCAGCAGUGGGGAAUAUUGCACAAUGGGGGAAACCCUGAUGCAGCGACGCCGCGUGAGUGAAGAAGUAUUUCGGUAUGUAAAGCUCUAUCAGCAGGAACGAGACAAGACGGUACCUGACUAAGAAGCCCCGGCUAACUGCGUGCCAGCAGCCGCGGUAAUACGUAGGGGGCAAGCGUUAUCCGGAAUCACUGGGUGUAAAGGGAGCGUAGACGGCUGUGCAAGCCUGAAGUGAAAGGCGGGGGCCCAACCCCUGGACUGCUUUGGAAACUGUGCAGCUAGAGUGCAGGAGAGGUAAGUGGAAUUCCUAGUGUAGCGGUGAAAUGCGUAGAUAUUAGGAAGAACACCAGUGGCGAAGGCGGCUUACUGGACAGUAACUGACGUUGAGGCUCGAAAGCGUGGGGAGCAAACAGGAUUAGAUACCCGAGUAGCU
rnacentral:rRNA from 1 species